rnacentral:rRNA from 1 species
UACGAAGGUGGCAAGCGUUGUUCGGAUUCACUGGGCGUACAGGGUGUGUAGGCGGUUUGGUAAGCCUUCUGUUAAAGCUUCGGGCCCAACCCGGAAAGCGCAGAGGGUACUGCCAGGCUAGAGGGCGGGAGAGGAGCGCGGAAUUCCCGGUGUAGCGGUGAAAUGCGUAGAGAUCGGGAGGAAGGCCGGUGGCGAAGGCGGCGCUCUGGAACGUACCUGACGCUGAGACGCGAAAGCUAGGGGAGCAAACGGG